AUUGUACCCGCUGACUUAGCAUAUCAUAAGCGGAGGAAAAGAAACUAACAAGGAUUCCCCUAGUAACUGCGAGUGAAGCGGGAAAAGCUCAAAUUUAAAAUCUGGUGAUCUUUGGUCAUCCGAGUUGUAAUUUAGAGAAGCGUCUUCCGCGCUGGACCGUACACAAGUCUCCUGGAACGGAGCGUCAUAGAGGGUGAGAAUCCCGUCUUGGUACGGACCCCCAGGGCUUCUGUGAUGCGCUCUCGAAGAGUCGAGUUGUUUGGGAAUGCAGCUCAAAAUGGGUGGUGAACUCCAUCUAAAGCUAAAUAUUGGCGAGAGACCGAUAGCGAACAAGUACCGUGAGGGAAAGAUGAAAAGCACUUUGGAAAGAGAGUGAAACAGUACGUGAAAUUGUUGAAAGGGAAACGCUUAAAGUCAGUCGCGUCUGCCGAGACUCAGCCUUGCUCCGGCUUGGCGUAUUUCUCGGUCGACGGGUCAGCAUCAAUUUGGUCCCUCGGAUAAUGGCAAGGGAAAGGUGGCACCUUUGCGGGUGUGUUAUAGUCUUUUGUCGCAUGCGAGGGGUGAGAUUGAGGAACUCAGCACGCGUGCCCUUCUGGGUGUGUCGGGGCCUUGGCCCACGCCACGUGCUUAGGAUGCUGGCGUAAUGGCUUUAAACGACCCGUCUUGAAACACGGACCAAGGAGUCUAACAUGCCCGCGAGUGUUCGGGUGGAAAACCCGUGCGCGUAAUGAAAGUGAAAGUUGGGACCUUCGUCGUGAAGGGCACCGACGCCCGGACCAGACCUUCUGUGACGGAUCUGCGGUGGAGCGUGCAUGUUGGGACCCGAAAGAUGGUGAACUAUGCCUGAAUAGGGUGAAGCCAGAGGAAACUCUGGUGGAGGCUCGUAGCGAUUCUGACGUGCAAAUCGAUCGUCAAAUUUGGGUAUAGGGGCGAAAGACUAAUCGAACCCUUCUGUUUCUGUUCCUGCCGAAGUUUCCCUCAGGAUAAUC
rnacentral:rRNA from 1 species